UGACAUCUACAACCGCACGAAAACAAGUGAUCAAAGCUUUACGCUACUUGUUCGGCGAGUCUAAGAUUUAAG
rfam:Lactobacillus gastricus PS3 contig00043, whole genome shotgun sequence.